UUUCUCGCGGUAAAAAUCUCGCUCAUCGAACUUCUUGUCAGUUGUACCGUUGCAGAACUGUCCUUGUGGUGAAAGUGUCUAACCAAUCAGAUAGGACUACAUGUGUCCAAUCAUAGACCUUGUUAGAAUACCACACGUGUGACACUGGGAUCGAGUGGCAGAACAGUCUUCCCUUCUUCUUCCCUGGGAUCGAGUUUGGUAUAGCAGAACGGUCGUUUGUUGAUAAUAUAACUGAUUUCUGAGGAAUUGAUAAAGCAUGGAAACACUAAAAAAGCAGAGAAACACCCAAGAGAAAAGGAUUUAGCAAAAGCCAUGUUAUGUUCCCUUACUGGAGUCCGUCCUAAGACGGAGACAAGCCAUUAAGAGGGGCUUCACCACCUUGAUUAUCUCAUCCUGACCAAGUCAUUGCACUGCAGUUGUCCACACAUCACAGUUGGUUAUUGCCCUUGACAAAUACUGCAGAGGAAUUCCCUUUUUAUUUAUUUCAGGCAGUGUCAAAUUUUGUUAUUCAAUGGCGGCACCAAGCAAAUAGUCCAGUUUUGAAUUCAACUGUGCCAUUGGAAUUAAGGACACAUAUAAAGACAGUGUGAGCCUAAGUUUCAGAUUAUUGGUUCACAAAUAACAUUGAGAUCAUGAAGAAUUCACAUGUUUUACAUAUUUCAAGCUCUAGGAGAUUUUCACUUGUAUGUUAUACUUGACUUAUACUACCUUUGUCCAUCUAUUCAGCAGGCAUGAUGGAUUUCCAAAUUUGAUUACUGAAGCAACCUUUGUCACAUCAUAGCUUAUAAUGUUCUGUUGUAGUUAUGUAACUAUUUAUUUGCAUAAUCUCUCAAUAAAUCACAUGUUUCCUUGGUGAA